UGUCCUUCGUUGGCAUCAGUUGUUGGCGACCAGACAAAUCUCAGCCAACCAUUCCCAAACCCCCUUUUUCUCAUUCAUAUCCCCCCUCAAUUGCACACCCUCUAUCUUAUCAAAGUAAAAUCCAUUUUUUCACUUUUCUUUCCAUUAGUUUCUGAAGGAAAGAAACUUGAGUUUUUGCAUCAAAUCUGGCUAUAAAAAGUAUUAAUUUUGAUGCGUUUGAUGGUCCUGCCGACUCCAUUGCAACUGCCAAAACACACUCGAAACCACUGUGCUAACAGUACUACUCCACCGCCGCUAUCAGCAUAAGCCCUAAGACAACGGGAAUGUCAAACGCUGAAAACAACAAAAAAUGUUGGUGGAAAAAAAAAGAGAUCAGGAACCUUACCUUGAAACUCUAGCGGCAACAAAUCGGGUUGAGAAAACCACAUGCAAUGUUAGAUCGGGCCUGUGGUGGCCUUAAACAGUCGGAAAUGGCUGGGAUGUCUUAAACGCCGGUCGCCGGAUAAACAGAAAUCAGAGCUAAAGGAACAUGGAGGUUCAGAUCUGGCGACGUUGGCUGGGUCUUCUAGAGAGAGAAUUUUACGGUCAAGGUGAUAGUGGUUCAGAUCUGAUCUUUAACAGAGUUCUCUACAAAGUGAAUGUGGAGUCUUUGGUAGAGAAAUGGUAGGAAAAACUUUCUAGAAUCUGGAAGAGAGAUCUUUACCCAAAAAAUUAAAGACAGUGGCACGAUGGCGGUGGUGUCAAGGAGGCGGAGGUAGGUGUUGCGACUGUUGAUGUAAUGAGAGGAGAGAGAGAGGUGAAUUAAGUAAGGGCUUUAACUUUACUAGAUGAAAGUCAAAUGACUACUCUGUGAUUUCUUUCUUCUUUCCCAGUUCAUAUACUUUUAUUCAUUUAUUGAUCAAAUAUGUUUAGUACUUUAGUAA